GAUUUCUGGCUUGGUGCGCGCUGUCCGCCGAGGUUUCUCGGUGUGUACAGAAGUGCGCCUGCCAUCCUUCUGGAAAAUGAUCCUACCCUUCACUGGGCCGGGGUCACUUCUGGAUCUUUUACUUUGAAAAAAUUAGAGUGUUCAAAGCAGGCUUGCGCUAUGAAUACAUUAGCAUGGAAUAAUAAUUUAGGACUUUUGUCCUAUUUUGUUGGUUUCUAGGACGAAAGUAAUGAUUGAUAGGGAUAGUUGGGGGUGCUAGUAUUCAGCGGCCAGAGGUGAAAUUCUCGGAUUCGCUGAAGACUAACUUAUGCGAAAGCAUU
rnacentral:rRNA from 1 species